GUAGGGAAUAUUGGUCAAUGGACGAAAGUCUGAACCAGCCAUUCCGCGUGCAGGAAGAAGAUUCUAUGGAUUGUGAACUGCUUUUAGCAGAGAAGAAACGCCUUUUUUGAUGAGGGUUUGACGGUAUCUGCGGAAUAAGCACCGGCUAACUCCGUGCCAGCAGCCGCGGUAAUACGGGGGGUGCAAGCGUUAUCCGGAAUCACUGGGUUUAAAGGGUGCGUAGGCGGGAAAUUAAGUCAGUGGUGAAAGUCUGUUGCUUAACGAUAGAAUUGCCGUUGAUACUGAUUUUCUUGAAUUGGGUUGAGGUUAGCGGAAUGUGACAUGUAGCGGUGAAAUGCAUAGAUAUGUCAUGGAACACCAAUUGCGAAGGCAGCUAGCUGGGCCUUGAUUGACGCUGAGGCACGAAAGCGUGGGUAGCGAACAGGAUUAGAAACCCUUGUAGUCC
rnacentral:rRNA from 1 species